UUACUAGAUCUCACGUGUACUCUUAGGGACCCCAUCCAGAGAUAUAGGGUGUCGACGUUCUGAAAUGAUGCCCUCGUGCCACCCCAAAAGUUUCCCCGGGCGUUGAACAGUGAUUAUGCCAGCAAGAAUGUUCGUUGCUUUGAUCUCUUCUUGGGGGCAUGUCGAGUGAAUUAAUGGUACUCAUACUAAAUCUAUGAUAUAAAAAGCUUUAUUGAACCAGGUUGGAAUGCACAUUUGACCAGGAUUGCUAAGCUAUCAGGAUUAAUAAACCACAAGAAUUACCAAGCCAGCAAGACUGCCAAGCCAUCAGGAUUACAAAACUACCAGAAUUACUAAGCCAUCAGGAUUACAAAACCACCAGAAUUACCAGGCCAGCUAGACUGCCAAACCAUCGGGAUUACAAAACCACCAGAAUUACCAGGCCAGCUAGACUGCCAAACCAUCGGGAUUACAAAACCACCAGAAUUACCAAGCCAGCAAGUUU